UAUCUAUUCCUUUUUGUGUGUGUCUGCAGCAUCAUUUUAUGACAUACAAACCAGAUUUUGAGUGGGUUCCACCCUGCCUCUGCAGAAUGUUCAAGGAGCAAGGAUCUGCGGAAACUAGGACAACGCUCCCUCAGUAUGAUAUUUGCAUGGGCGCUUCUGACGCUUCUCAUUUAUUCCUCACGUGCUGAUCUCCAUGGACAUUUAAUUUUGCAGGCGACUACCUUAAAACACAUGACAAAUGCUAGUAUGCAGCCUAGAGCCUGGAAACAGGAAUUUAGGCUGAGCCCUGGAUGUGGUGGUGCCUGCCUACAGACUGUGGCGCCCGCGGCCUGAGAUGACUGUAUGCUUGACUGAAGCAAAACGGAUAGGAAGUCCAAACAAGGAAUCCAUCCGAAGAGCCUGGACUUAAAUGUAGAGGUAAUGCAUAAGCAUGCAAAAGGUAAAUGAAAGAUGAAAGCCAAACCAGAGAACAUAAGGUGAUGACACAGAAGCUCUGAUAAUUUCUGGAAGUAUGGAGUUGGAGAUUUCUUGAACUCAUGUAAACACACACGUGUGUGCACUUGUGUGUUUGUGUGGUUUGUCUCACGUGUCGUCCUUUCUUAUUCUGUUAAAAAAAUGCCAACCAUGUCUCGAAUUCAGGAGAUGAACAGGAUCCAAACUAGAAUACCUGAUUCAUUCUCCAAGGUUUAGUGAGUAUAACUAGUGGGAAAGGUUUUUCCUGACAGGCCAUGAAAUUGUUAGUGUGAAUUCAGAACUACCAGCAACGUAUUCUAAUGCAGAUAGCCUUGACUGCUCUAAAAUACAGCUAAAAUAACCUAGGAAGGAAAUCAUAAAAGACUAAUGCAGAGAGAAUCCUGAAGACAUUCAGUUUUCCAGUUCCAUUCAACCUCAGUAUCACCUUUGCCCUUCCUGGAUAUGUGGACCAAUAAAUCUCAUUUUGAACUUGAGCUAGUUUGCAUUGACUUUCUGUCAGGUACUACUAGAGAAUAGUGGCUAUUACAGAGGACUUAAUUCAGUGGUUGGAAGCUAUGCCUCUGGCUCUAUAGGCUUUCAAGGAAAAUACAUGUGUGUAUAGGUGUGGGGAGGUUGGGGAGUGGGGUUGCUUCUUGCUAGCUCUUAGGCCCAGAGAGCUGGGGAAAAUAUAAGUGACCCAGAAAACCAAAAGAUUAUAUGCAAACAUAUUAGAGCUAAAAAGAAAACCAUACCGAGCUUCCUAUGGUUGCAGAAAAUUACAGAAAUCUCAGGAAGAGGCAAAGGGGUCUGGCACUCACAAAAAUAAAAUCAUGUCGGGUGAAUGUUCUAACCCUAAAACCACAUGCCUUGGUGAAGCACAUAGUAUUGGUGUUGAGUAGUGGUGUUGGUGGAUAUCAAGUAAUUGCACUUGGAAACUCUUUUCUGGAGGCUACUAUUGAAACCACAUUUCAUUAUAAUAAUUGUGUGGAUUGAUAUUCAUUCCGAGUAGAGAAAUCUGUAUGUAUCUUGAUUACAUGAUAUUUGUAAACUUGAAAUUUUGUGAAUUACUUUUAUAAAUUUGCAUAUGUGAUUAUAAAAGAACCCACACAUUCAGCACUAGUUCAGAACUAGCACUUGGUCUUAGACCCAAGUAGAAUAAAAUGGAUGACCACACUAAUAACACAACUCUGAUAUAUGUAAACUAUUUCCCCAGGCAAGUAGACAUGAAGUUGGUCAGAUUUUCGUGAUCUACAUCCUUUAUGCAGAAGCUAAAAUAAUGGUAGGACCCAUUGUUUAUAUGUUACAAAGCGCUGAAAUUGUGUUAAUCCAAUUCCUAAUAAAAGUUAGAACGCUAACUCUUCUAGACGUCUCUCCAAAUUAUAUGGGACCUAAUAUUAUCAUAAAGGGGAAGAAUAGAAAUUAUCAAAAUAUACACCUCUUCAAGAGUUACCCGCUUGACAAUUAAAAAAUAAUUUUGGUAUUUCAAUGCUUAUCACAGUAUACUUAUGAAAAUCUACUGCAGGAUUAGAAAGUCUCAUAAUGUCUCUGUCAAAAAUUUGUGGAGCAGGAAUUUCAGACUAACAGAAUGAGGGAAAUACAACAUUACAAGAGUUAAAGGCUGAGAAUUUUUCAGAACUUAAUGAAGAUGUGACUGCUUAUAUUUCUGUCACACAUAGGAUCCUGAGCAGGAACUCUGAGCUAGGGCUAAUGCAAGAACAACAGUGUUAGAGUAUAGAGUUAUAAACUCACAUAUAACACAUAUUUUAAAAUAAUAAUAAAUAUAAGCAUAAUAGAGUUGUGGAGAUAGUCCCCUAUAUCUAGACAUUUUACCCUCUCUGAAUCCACCCACAUAUCUCAUUUUCUUGAUUUUUAAAUAUUUAAUGUUUAUUCUUGAGAGAGAGAGACAGAGAGA